GUGGCCCAGGUGCUGUCGGGGGUCCCUGGGAAGUUGCGGCAAAACUCAGGCCAGGUCACGAGGGUCGGAUGAAAGGGGUCGCGGCGACAGAGCACCACGAUGCUGGGAGUGAAGUGAAUAGAGCUGAGGGGGGGGUCAGGAAAGCCUGGAUAAAAGUCAUCCGGCUGGGACUUCCUGUGGUCGAGGUCUAAUAUCUGAGGGAAACGGACUUUUACUUCUGGGUUACGCACAUCCCGCCCCACCAUCGUGUGACUAGGAUGAAGGAAAUUGUGCCCUGCGACUUUCCGUACCGGGGCUUGCAUCCGUUCUCUCUUCCCUUCUCAAUUAGGCGCGACACUUGAGCCGGAAGCACAACCUUUUUAACGGUUCUUUGCUCUUCUCGGAGGGCGGUCGGCCCGUGGUGGCCUCGGAGACUCUUGAGACGGCCAGCCACAACCCCUUUCUUACUUGAGCGCCUCCACAAAUAACUCGGCUUUGGUCUUCCCUCUCGCAUUACUUUCGGAUGACGCGUGAGAACGUGUUCCGGAGGGUAGAAAGCUGUGCAAAUUAUCGGGCUGCUUUUAAGGAUCCCCAGGGACCCGCAGUUUUGCCGCGUCAAACCCCUAUGUUCGCAGCAAUUUAAUUCACAGACCAGCCAGAAUCUUGAAGGUAGAGGAAAACAGGGAACAGCAUUCCAAGUAGGAAGUCCAGUUCAUCAAUUGCCCUGAGACAGGACAGGAGCAGAAGGAAGACCGGCAAGAAGAAAGAGGGCCAUUGCACGCGCACUUACUGGAGAGCGGAUGGCCUGAGCUGUGCAUGGAGAGGGGACUGGCUUCAGGGGCCUCCUAGUUGAGAAGAUGACCAGCAUUUUCUGAAGUCCACCUCCCUACCUCCAUCCACAAGGAUGUGCACUGCCCAUCGCUCCCCAGGGACAGCCACCUCUUCAGCUCACCAAGCUCUUAUGAAGUGACUGGUGAGCCCAUCCCUCAUUCUCUGAGGCAGUAUGGAGAUGGGGACAAACAAGGCCCAGAAGGCAAGGUCGGGGCAAAGCCAUUGCCCUCUUUAAAUUCCGUUUCUUCAUCAGUAAAAUAAUAAAGAAUUGCACAAGA